rnacentral:lncRNA from 1 species
UUGAAUUGUACUUGUAUAUUGUAUGUUUCAUAACUAUGUGGUACAAGAAAUGUAAGAAAUGAGGUUAGAAGACAUUCGAGGAAACGGGCUGACGACUCAACGGGUUUGAGUUGGAAUUUUUUGUCACAACUAUGUGGUACAUGGAAGGUAAGGAAUGAGGUUAUUAUAAAUUGUAAUUUUGUUACUGAAAAUUCUAUUGUGUCAAAAGCAAAAAUAUUGUUGCAGGAUUACAUUUUAGCACUAGCACAGAUGGUGAAGUCUAACAGAGCAGCCAGUGGCCAAGUGAGAUGGCAACCUCCACCUACUACCUACUUUGAAGUGAAGUUCGAUGCUGGUUUCAAUGCAAAUUUACAGCAAACAAGAGCGGGACUUGUUGAGGCUCUCUAUGGAUGUCUAGCUAUAGGCUGAGAUGACAGCAGCAUUGAAGGCCCUGGAAUCGGCGAAGAAACAAGUUAAAAGAUCCUAUACGUCCAAAGACAAGUUAACCCCCCUUGUAGGAAAUGAUGAUGUUGAAUUGUCAUGAUUGAUAGGCUCUUAAUUUUCGAUGAAAAGAAGAAGAGUUAGAAGCAGCAAAUUGGUUUAGUUCUUCAAUAAAAUUAUGGGAUUCUGG